CAGCGCAGCGUCGCUCGGGGCUCGCGGCCGGAUGGGGAAGGCGGCGGCGGCGGUGGCCUUUGGGGCCGAAGUGGGCGUGCGGCUCGCGCUGUUCGCGGCCUUCCUGGUGACGGAGCUGCUCCCCCCGUUCCAGAGACUCAUCCAGCCGGAGGAGAUGUGGCUCUACCGGAACCCCUACGUGGAGGCGGAGUAUUUCCCCACCAAGCCGAUGUUUGUGCGUGGAGAAAGAUCGUCUCUCCUCCCUCCCCAUGACCGGGCUUCCCGCGGGCACCUGUGCGUUUUCCACCCCGAGACAGCCUUUGUAGGGACCCACUGCCCACUCCGCUGCUGUGCGCUGGGUUCCGCCUCCUAGGGCUCGAGUGUUUGUUUAAGAUCCUGAUUGAUUGAUUGAUUGAGAGAGGAGGGUGUCCGAGCCUCUUUGGGCUGAGACAACGUUUUCCCGGGCGCUCUGUGCCUCAGCCUGAGGUACCGGGGCCCGAGCCGCACGGGCGCUGCUGUUCACUGGUGGCGCUGCCUGGCGCCCGGUUACGCGCACUCAGAGACCUUAUGUUAGCGCCAGUGAGUCCUGCUGUGUCACAUCCCUCUUUCCUGUAGGAGCACGAGUGUGGCUUUUUUUUUUAUUAUUGUUUUUAACCUCUGACAUUCUGAUUCAGGUUAUUGCAUUUCUCUCUCCACUGUCUCUGAUCUUCCUGGCCAAAUUUCUCAAGAAGGCAGACACAAGAGACAGCAGACAAGCCUGCCUGGGUGAGCGCUAGCCCUUUCUGGCCGGUUUCUUCGUGCUGGGAACCUAGGAGGUCGUUGUGGGAUUCAGCCACGGUGAGCCUGUGUGGAGGCCACUGAGUUCUGCAUUCCUAAAGGAACUCUAUCCCCGCGGGAGAGGAAAAUAGCACUGCAGGGACUUGGUUACGCAGGCUACCCCGCAGGCAGCCCUGUGCCUAAAUGCACUGGGUUAUUUGUACCUCAGAAAUGUCUUUGGCCUAGUACAAAAGUUCUCGGCUACAAAAGAGUGAUCACUGAGGACCCUAAUUAUUUUUGUGCCCAGGCCUGGUUGGAUUCUAUCCAUCUCAGAAACAGCACGGCUGCUCUCAUAACGAGGCCAUGACCAUACCUUUCCUCCUAGACAGAUCCUUUUAACUAAUGGCUUUGCUUUGCAGCUGCCAGCCUUGCCCUGGCUCUGAAUGGCGUCUUUACCAACACAAUAAAACUGAUCGUAGGGAGGCCACGCCCAGAUUUCUUCUACCGCUGCUUCCCUGAUGGGCUAGCCCAUUCUGACUUGAUGUGUACAGGGGAUAAGGACGUGGUGAAUGAGGGCCGAAAGAGCUUCCCCAGUGGACAUUCUUCCUGUAUGAAUAUCAUAUGGACUCUACCCUAUGCUUGUUUUCACAUCAUUGAAUUUAACCUAGAAAGCUAGUAGGGAUGGGAAAAUCUGACUACUCUUGUUUCUACAAUUUGGAAAAUCCCCCCUUCUUUAGUAACUCCACAGUUUAACAAGUCUGAGCCUUGACUAUUUGGGUAAAUAUUACAGAACAGAAAGGUAGUUUACCUUCAUGAGAUUUACACAUUUAAUUGUUAUAUUAUUUGCCUAGAUCCUGCAAUCUUGUACUAGCAG
rnacentral:sRNA from 1 species